GUGCUAUGGGGAGCACAGAGGGGAAUCCCCUCUGUCGUAUUAAGGAGAGUGCUCAGCUGACACGCUCUUUGUCAGCGCCGAAGGGAAC
rnacentral:sRNA from 21 species